AUUGAACGCUGGCGGCAGGCCUAACACAUGCAAGUCGAACGAGUGGCGGACGGGUGAGUAAUGACUGGGAAACUGCCUGAUGGAGGGGGAUAACUAAUGGAAACGGUAGCUAAUACCGCAUACCAUCAGAUGUGCCCAGGUGGGAUUAGCUAGUAUGUGGGGUAACGGCUAACCUAGGCGACGCUCCCUAGCUGGUCUGAGAGGAUGACCAGCCACACUGGAACUGAGACACAGUCCAGACUCCUACGGGAGGCAGCAGUGGGGAAUAGUGCACAAUGGGCGCAAGCCUGAUGCAGCCAUGCCGCGUGUAUGAAGAAGGCCUUCGGGUUGUAAAGUACUUUCAGCGGGGAGGCGUUACCCGCAGAAGAAGCACCGGCUAACUCCGUGCCAGCCGCCGCGGUAAUAC
rnacentral:rRNA from 1 species